rnacentral:rRNA from 14 species
ACUGACCGAUAGUGAACCAGUACCGUGAGGGAAAGGUGAAAAGAACCCUGAACAAGGGAGUGAAAAAGAUCCUGAAACCGUGUGUUUACAAGCGGUCGAAGCCUUAGGGCGACGGCGUGCCUUUUGCAUAAUGAUCCUACGAGUUACUCCUCAUUGGCAAGGUUAAGUCUUUAAGGGACGAAUCCGAAGCGAAAGCGAGUCUGAAUAGGGCGACUGAGUAUGUUGGAUUAGACCCGAAACCCGGCGAUCUAGGCAUGAGCAGGUUGAAGGUGCGGUAACACGCACUGGAGGACCGAACCGUUUAAUGUUGAAAAAUUAUCGGAUGACUUGUGUUUAGGGGUGAAAGGCCAAUCAAGCCGGGAAAUAGCUGGUUCUCCGCGAAAUCUAUUGAGGUAGAGCGUCAGAUGUAUGCCGAUGGGGGUAGAGCACUGGAUGGGCUAGGGCUGCGCGAGCGGUACCAAACCUAACCAAACUCCGAAUACCAUCGAGUCUUGUCUGGCAGACAGACGGCGGGUGCUAAGGUCCGUCGUCAAAAGGGAAACAGCCCUAACCUACAGCUAAGGUCCCCAAGUCAUAUCUAAGUGGGAAAGCAUGUGGGAAUCCCAAAACAACCAGGAGGUUGGCUUAGAAGCAGCCAUCCUU